UUUAGAGGCAGUGGUCCCCUCCUCUCUCUCCCCAAAGAGACUCAUUUUAGAGGCAGUGGUCCCCUCCUCUCUCUCCCCAGAGAGACUCAUUUUAGAGGCAGUGGUCCCCUCCUCUCUCUCCCCAGAGAGACUCAUUUUAGAGGCAGUGGUCCCCUCCUCUCUCUCCCCAGAGAGACUCAUUUUAGAGGCAGUGGUCCCCUCCUUUCUUUCCCCAGAGAGACUCAUUUUAGAGGCAGUAGUCCCCUCCUCUGUCUCCCCAAAGAGACUCAUUUUAGAGGCAGUGGUCUCCUCCUCUCUCUCCCCAGAGAGACUCAUUUUAGAUGUAAGUCAAAACUCACUCAGCU
ensembl:lncRNA